GAUGAACGCUAGCGGCAGGCCUAAUACAUGCAAGUCGAACGGUAACAUUCUCGCUUGCGAGAGAUGACGAGUGGCGCACGGGUGCGUAACGCGUAUGCAACCUACCCUUAACUGGAGGAUAGCCCGGAGAAAUCCGGAUUAAUACUCCAUAGUAUCACCAGAUGGCAUCUGAAGGUGAUUAAAGAUUUAUUGGUUAAGGAUGGGCAUGCGUGACAUUAGUUAGUUGGUGAGGUAACGGCUCACCAAGACAACGAUGUCUAGGGGUUCUGAGAGGAUGAUCCCCCACACUGGUACUGAGAUACGGACCAGACUCCUNACGGGAGGCAGCAGUAGGGAAUAUUGGUCAAUGGGCGAGAGCCUGAACCAGCCAUGCCGCGUGCAGGAAGACGGCCUUCUGGGUUGUAAACUGCUUUUAUACAGGAACAAAUAGUCCAUGCGUGGAAAGUUGAGUGUACUGUAUGAAUAAGCACCGCUAACU
rnacentral:rRNA from 1 species